GAUGAAGAACGUAGCGAAAUGCGAUACGUAAUGUGAAUUGCAGAAUUCAGUGAAUCAUCGAGUCUUUGAACGCACAUUGCGCCCCCUGGUAUUCCGGGGGGCAUGCCUGUCCGAGCGUCAUUUCAACCCUCGAACCCCUCCGGGGGUCCGGCGUUGGGGAUCGGGAACCCCUAAGACGGGAUCCCGGCCCCGAAAUACAGUGGCGGUCUCGCCGCAGCCUCUCAUGCGCAGUAGUUUGCACAACUCGCACCGGGAGCGCGGCGCGUCCACGUCCGUAAAACACCCAACUUCUGAAAUGUUGACCUCGGAUCAGGUAGGAAUACCCGCUGAACUUAAGCAUAUCAAUAAGCGGAGGA
rnacentral:misc_RNA from 1 species